GGUGACCUGCGGAGGAUCAUUAUAGAUUCUCUAUAUAAACACACACACACAUGUGCACCAACUGUAGGUUAACUCGAAAGAGUAAGACCUAUGUAUUUCUAUAUCACACCUACAUAUGUAUAAGAAUGAAACAAAUAAAAACCUAUAUACAACUUUCAGCAACGGAUCUCUUGGUUCUCGCAUCGAUGAAGAACGCAGCGAAUUGCGAUAAGUAAUGUGAAUUGCAGAUUUUCAGUGAAUCAUCGAAUCUUUGAACGCACCUUGCGCUCCUUGGUAUUCCGAGGAGCAUGCCUGUUUGAGUGUCAUUUGAAUUCUCAACUCAUGCUCAUGUCUUACAUGACAUGGGAUUGGACUUGGAGGUUGCUGGCAGCAUAUAGCUUAUCAGCUCUUCUGAAAUGCAUUAGCGAUUGGUUUCAAGUGCAAGUCAGGUUGACGCACCAAUUAGCCUUUGACAUGAUAAUCAUCUGUCGUAGUGAAUUUUUGGUAUUGCACGAACACAGACUAUCGCUUCUAAUUAGUAUUAGUAUACAUAUACUAUGGCUACUUGACCUCAAAUCAGGUAGGACUACCCGCUGAACU
rnacentral:rRNA from 1 species